GAAGACGACUAGGUCAGCUCUGUGAAGUCUUCUAUUUUUACCCUCUUCCAGCCUGCCAUGCAUGGGUGCUUAAAGCCUCAGACCUAGGCUGGGCGUCAAGCGGUUUCCCUCAGACUCGGAGCCUUUGGCCUACAGAAUCAUGGCGGCUGCAGGUCUGCAACUUUCUGCUUCCCCGGACCCCCGGCUGUGCUGGGUGGCCCACACCCAUCUGCUGAGGAGGACGAGGUGGGGAAAAGCCUUAGAGGUCAGUGUCUCGAAGCCAGCCUGGGCAGUACAAUGAGAUUCCUUCUGUCUCAAAUAUAUAAGUGACUGAAUAAGAUGUAAAAUGGCCAACUGCUGGGAGGGCCAAGGGAAAGGAGCCUCUGAAGGUCUUUUGGCAGAGGACCCAAGGCAUGGAUGACAGCAAGGUUAGCAAGAAGGACAGGCCCUGCAGAUCCACACAGGAUCCAGUCUCCGGAAAGAAAUUGUUAUCAGGCAGAGGCUGCUGUGGGGAGCCUGACCCGGAAGCCUUGGGUUCUUUUCAGGAAGGUCAAGAGGAGCCAUCUGGCAUCCUCGGCCUAGAAGCUCAGAACUCGGAAACUCUCAGAGUCUCUUCCAACACAACUGGUGCAAAGAACCACCCUCCUUGCCAACCCCACUAGAAAACAGGUGCCAGAAGGUCUCGCCUGUCCUUCCAGUGUCCAUGGUGCCAUUUCUCUGCAGAGCCUCCCAUGGCAAGGCACGAGGACUCACAACAUUGUUCCAGCCCACUUCAGACCUGAGAUACCCACAGAUGCCUACCUUAGCAACACGAUUAACCUCCAGGAUUCUUAUGGGUUGAAUAGUGCUCACCCACUGACUGAUGUGUGCUCAGAAUCCCAGGAAGGAGGAGAGAGAUCUUCAUGGGUAUCCUUCAGUACGGUGGAGGCCACCUAGGAUUUAGGGUGAGCACCGACUUUAACCACCGGUGUCCUUGUGAAUAAGAACAGGACACAGACCCAGAGGAAGAGUGCCACACCUGGACAAGGCAGAAACGAGAGUGGUCAAAAGUCAAGGAACACCGGGGAUGUUGCAGCUCUCAAUCUGGCAAACCUCCUUGUUGGCUUGGAACAGUUCUGGAAAAGGAAGCCUCUAAGACAGCAGGAACAAAUGCCUCACAGCACGGGCAAGUUGGAGAUCAAGAGGUAUAGCCAAGAAAAUCUGGAAAUGGCGUCAUCAUCACCA
rnacentral:sRNA from 1 species